rnacentral:rRNA from 1 species
GAUGAACGCUGGCGGCGUGCCUAAUACAUGCAAGUCGAGCGAACAGACGAGGAGCUUGCUCCUCUGACGUUAGCGGCGGACGGGUGAGUAACACGUGGAUAACCUACCUAUAAGACUGGGAUAACUUCGGGAAACCGGAGCUAAUACCGGAUAAUAUAUUGAACCGCAUGGUUCAAUAGUGAAAGACGGUUUUGCUGUCACUUAUAGAUGGAUCCGCGCCGCAUUAGCUAGUUGGUAAGGUAACGGCUUACCAAGGCAACGAUGCGUAGCCGACCUGAGAGAGUGAUCGGCCACACUGGAACUGAGACACGGUCCAGACUCCUACGGGAGGCAGCAGUAGGGAAUCGUCCGCAAAGGGCGAAAGCUUGACGGAGCAACGCCGCGUGAGUGAUGAAGGUCUUCGGAUCGGAAAACUCUGUUAUUAGGGAAGAACAAAUGUGUAAGUAACUAUGCACGUCUUGACGGUACCUAAUCAGAAAGCCACGGCUAACUACGUG